AGAAAAUUAGUAUUAUUACAAAGGUUAUAUUUGUCAUUUAUUAUUUUUGACUAAACCAUCUCCAUCCAAAUGGUCAAACCAAGUUCAUCCAAAUGAGUUUUAAAAUUUUGCCUAAACUUACAAAGUCAUUCAGAUGGAUCAUCCAAGUGAUUCAUCCAAAUGGUAUGUUAAAUUAUCAAAAACAAACAUCAUUUUUCAUCUCCAUCUAGAUGGAUAAACAAAUAGGGACUAAGUAAAGCAGACUAACCAUAGAUAAACUUUGAUAUUCCAUU
rnacentral:sRNA from 1 species